UUCGCAAUGCCCGAAAGGGUGACGAAGCGACGCCGCGUGUGGGAAGAAGGCCUUCGGGUUGUAAACCACUGUCGGGAGUUAAGAAAUGCAAGGAUAUUAAUAGUGUCUUUGCUUGACUAAGGCUCCGGAGGAAGCCACGGCUAACUCUGUGCCAGCAGCCGCGGUAAUACAGAGGCGGCAAGCGUUGUUCGGAAUUAUUGGGCGUAAAGAGCACGUAGGCGGCUAUGUAAGUCGGUUGUGAAAGCCUUCCGCUCAACGGGAGAACAGCAUCCGAUACUACAUGGCUUGAGUGCGGGAGGGGAGAGUGGAACUUCUGGUGGAGCGGUGAAAUGCGUAGAUAUCAGAAGGAACGCCGGCGGCGAAAGCGGCUCUCUGGCCCAUAACUGACGCUGAGUGUGCGAAAGCUAGGGGAGCAAACGGGAUUAGAUACCCCGGUAGUCCUAGCCGUAAACGAUGGGCACUAAGUAGAGGGGUUUU
rnacentral:rRNA from 1 species